UACGUAGGGGGCAAGCGUUGUCCGGAAUCAUUGGGCGUAAAGAGCGUGUAGGCGGCUUGGUAAGUCCGCUGUGAAAGUCCAGGGCUCAACCCUGGAAAGCCGGUGGAAACUGUCAAGCUUGAGUCCGGAAGAGGCGAGUGGAAUUCCUGGUGUAGCGGUGAAAUGCGCAGAUAUCAGGAGGAACACCUGUGGCGAAAGCGGCUCACUGGACCAUUACUGACGCUGAGGCACGAAAGCUAGGGGAGCAAACAGG
rnacentral:rRNA from 1 species